AUUGAACGCUGGCGGCAUGCUUUACACAUGCAAGUCGAACGGUAACAGGCCGCAAGGUGCUGACGAGUGGCGCACGGGUGAGUAAUGCAUCGGAACGUGCCCAGUCGUGGGGGAUAACUACUCGAAAGAGUAGCUAAUACCGCAUACGAUCUAUGGAUGAAAGCGGGGGACCGUAAGGCCUCGCGCGAUUGGAGCGGCCGAUGUCAGAUUAGGUAGUUGGUGGGGUAAAGGCUCACCAAGCCAACGAUCCGUAGCUGGUCUGAGAGGACGACCAGCCACACUGGGACUGAGACACGGCCCAGACUCCUACGGGAGGCAGCAGUGGGGAAUUUUGGACAAUGGGCGCAAGCCUGAUCCAGCAAUGCCGCGUGCAGGAAGAAGGCCUUCGGGUUGUAAACUGCUUUUGUACGGAACGAAACGGCUCUGGUUAAUACCCGGGGCUAAUGACGGUACCGUAAGAAUAAGCACCGGCUAACUACGUG
rnacentral:rRNA from 1 species